rnacentral:rRNA from 1 species
AUCGGAGCUUUACCAUGCAAGUCAAACGGCAGCAUGGAGAGCUUGCUCUCUGAUGGCGAGUGGCGAACGCGUGAGUAAUGUAUCGGAACGUGCCCAGUAGCGGGGGAUAACUACUCGAAAGAGUAGCUAAUACCGCAUACGCCCUACGGGGGAAAGGGGGGGAUCUUAUGACCUCUCACUAUUGGAGCGGCCGAUAUCGGAUUAGCUAGUUGGUGGGGUAAAGGCCUACCAAGGCUGCGAUCCGUAGCUGGUUUGAGAGGACGACCAGCCACACUGGGACUGAGACACGGUCCAGACUCCUACGGGAGGCAGCAGUGGGGAAUUUUGGACAAUGGGGGCAACCCUGAUCCAGCCAUCCCGCGUGUGCGAUGAAGGCCUUCGGGUUGUAAAGCACUUUUGGCAGGAAAGAAAUCGCACGGGCUAAUACCCUGUGUGGAUGACGGUACCUGCAGAAUAAGCACCGGCUAACUACGUGCCAGCAGCCGCGGUAAUACGUAGGGUGCAAGCGUUAAUCGGAAUUACUGGGCGUAAAGCGUGCGCAGGCGGUUCGGAAAGAAAGAUGUGAAAUCCCAGGGCUUAACCUUGGAACUGCAUUUUUAACUCCCGAGCUAGAGUGCGUCAGAGGGGGGUGGAAUUCCGCGUGUAGCAGUGAAAUGCGUAGAGAUGCGGAGGAACACCGAUGGCGAAGGCAGCCCCCUGGGAUGACACUGACGCUCAUGCACGAAAGCGUGGGGAGCAAACAGGAUUAGAUACCCUGGUAGUCCACGCCCUAAACGAUGUCAACUAGCUGCUGGGGCCUU